GAGAUGGAUUGGUGCCUUCGGGAACUGUGAGACAGGUGCUGCAUGGCUGUCGUCAGCUCGUGUUGUGAAAUGUUGGGUUAAGUCCCGCAACGAGCGCAACCCUUAUCCUUUGUUGCCAGCGGUCCGGCCGGGAACUCAAAGGAGACUGCCAGUGAUAAACUGGAGGAAGGUGGGGAUGACGUCAAGUCAUCAUGGCCCUUACGACCAGGGCUACACACGUGCUACAAUGGCGCAUACAAAGAGAAGCGACCUCGCGAGAGCAAGCGGACCUCAUAAAGUGCGUCGUAGUCCGGAUUGGAGUCUGCAACUCGACUCCAUGAAGUCGGAAUCGCUAGUAAUCGUGGAUCAGAAUGCCACGGUGAAUACGUUCCCGGGCCUUGUACACACCGCCCGUCACACCAUGGGAGUGGGUUGCAAAAGAAGUAGGUAGCUUAACCUUCGGGAGGGCGCUUACCACUUUGUGAUUCAUGACUGGGGUGAAGUCGUAACAAGGUAACCGUAGGGGAAC
rnacentral:rRNA from 1 species